rnacentral:rRNA from 1 species
UCCUACGGGGGGCAGCAGUGGGGGAUAUUGGACAAUGGGGGGAACCCUGAUCCAGCGACGCCGCGUGAGUGAAGAAGUAUUUCGGUAUGUAAAGCUCUGUCCGCAGGGAAGAAAGCAAUGACGGUACCUGACCAAGAAGCCCCGGCUAACUACGUGCCAGCAGCCGCGGUAAUACGUAUGGUGCAAGCGUUAUCCGGAUUUACUGGGUGUAAAGGGAGCGCAGGCGGUACGGCAAGUCUGAUGUGAAAGCCCGGGGCUCAACCCCGGUACUGCAUUGGAAACUACCGGACUGGAGUGUCGGAGGG